rnacentral:lncRNA from 1 species
AGGAGCCCAAGGGAAGCCCAAAAAUGAAAGCCCAAAGUUUCACAAAAUAUUAAGCCUCAACAAUAUAAAUCGGCCCACCUAAACUCAAGAAAUCGGCCCAAUGAAUUAGCAUUUGGCCCAACUGAAUUAGGCCCAGAAAUUAAAGCCCAAAACUAAUAAAAUCCUAGCCCCAACUGAAAAUAAUCGGCCCACCUAACUCUCAAAAAUCGGCCCAAUCAAACACUCAAAAAUCGGCCCACUCAAUCACUAUCUCUCUCUCGGUCUUCCCUCACGCUCAACCGCUCUCUCUCUCUUCCUUUCUCUCAAAACAAAACACAUGCACACCUUUUUUUUUAACAAAAGACACGCACACACAUUCUUUAUAUCUAUCAUCAAAUCUCUCUCUCUAUCUUUUAUCUUUAUUAAAGCCAACAUUUCCUCUUUCUCUCCCACUAUCGGUUCCCUCUCCCUCCUUAUAUUCAAUCACCACAUGCACACACACCUUUUAAAAUAUAUCUCUCUCUCUUUCGAUCAACUCACGGCUGGAGUUGCCGCCGCGUUCUGAAAAUCCGGCGAGGUUCGCCGCGUGGAGCUGCUGCCGCUGACUGCUGCUGUUCUGCUCUGGGCCGCGACCAGCGGCGCUUGGCCUUCGGCCGCGCCGCCCCGCUCCGCCUGAAGUCGCCGAGUCAGCCGCCUUCGACUGCUGCUGUCGCCGAGGAGUCCGCCGACUGCUGCUGUUCGUUGAGGAGUCCGCCGGCUGCUGUUGCAGAGUUCCGACAGCCACCACCGUCGUCGGCUGCCGCUGCCUCGCCCAAGCCGACUUCUGCUGCCAAGCAUCGAACGCUGCUGCUGUAGGGAGGCCGGCGAACAGCCGGG